GGCUAACGCUGGCGGCGUGUCUUAGCCAUGCAAGUCGAGCGGACUUAUGGGGGUAACUUAUAAGUCAGCGGCGGACGGCGGAGUAACACGUAGCUAACCUACCCUCUGGACGGGGGAUAACCUACCGAAAGGUGGGCUAAUACCCGAUGUAGUCAUCCUGUAUAGGGGGUGAUGAAAGGUGGGCUUCUGUUUACAAGCUCAUGCUGGAGGAGGGGGCUGCGGCCUAUCAGGUAGUUGGUAGGGUAAUAGCCUACCAAGCCGAUGACGGGUAGCCGACCUGAGAGGGUGACCGGCCACACUGGGACUGAGACACGGCCCAGACUCCUACGGGAGGCAGCAGCAGGGAAUCUUGGGCAAUGGGCGAAAGCCUGACCCAGCGACGCCGCGUGGAGGAAGAAGUCCUUCGGGGCGUAAACUCCUGGACUGGGGGACGAGGAAGGACGGUACCCCAGUAGAAAGGGACGGCUAACUACGUG
rnacentral:rRNA from 1 species